rnacentral:rRNA from 1 species
ACACAUGCAGUCGAGCGGAGUGAUGGUGCUUGCACUAUCACUUAGCGGCGGACGGGUGAGUAAUGCUUAGGAAUCUGCCUAUUAGUGGGGGACAACAUUUCGAAAGGAAUGCUAAUACCGCAUACGCCCUACGGGGGAAAGCAGGGGACCUUCGGGCCUUGCGCUAAUAGAUGAGCCUAAGUCAGAUUAGCUAGUUGGUGGGGUAAAGGCCUACCAAGGCGACGAUCUGUAGCGGGUCUGAGAGGAUGAUCCGCCACACUGGGACUGAGACACGGCCCAGACUCCUACGGGAGGCAGCAGUGGGGAAUAUUGGACAAUGGGGGAAACCCUGAUCCAGCCAUGCCGCGUGUGUGAAGAAGGCCUUUUGGUUGUAAAGCACUUUAAGCGAGGAGGAGGCUACUUAGAUUAAUACUCUAGGAUAGUGGACGUUACUCGCAGAAUAAGCACCGGCUAACUCUGUGCCAACAGCCGCGGUAAUACAGAGGGUGCGAGCGUUAAUCGGAUUUACUGGGCGUAAAGCGUGCGUAGGUGGUCUUUUAAGUCGGAUGUGAAAUCCCUGAGCUUAACUUAGGAAUUGCAUUCGAUACUGGGAGACUAGAGUAUGGGAGAGGAUGGUAGAAUUCCAGGUGUAGCGGUGAAAUGCGUAGAGAUCUGGAGGAAUACCGAUGGCGAACGCAGCCAUCUGGCCUAAUACUGACACUGAGGCACGAAAGCAUGGGGAGCAAACAGGAUUAGAUACCCUGGUAGUCCAUGCCGUAACGAUGUCUACUAGCCGUUGGGGUCUUUGAGACUUUAGUGGCGCAGCUAACGCGAUAGUAGACGCUGGGGGAGUACGUCGCA